rnacentral:precursor_RNA from 11 species
CCGCCUUAAAAGAUUUUCCCUGUGUUGGGUCGGUCCUUCCCGGGGCACCUUGCUGAUAGGUAGUCAAGCACGCGAGCUGCCCAGUGAAGGGCUUUCCGAAUCAGGAGACGAACCGUCUUUUUGUUU